rnacentral:rRNA from 1 species
GGGAAUUCGAUUAGAGUUUGAUCAUGGCUCAGAACGUACGCUGGCGGCACGCCUAACACAUGCAAGUCGAACGAAGUAGCAAUACUUAGUGGCAGACGGGUGAGUAACAUGUAGGUAUCUGCCCUUUGGCCUGGAAUAACACGAGGAAACUUGUGCUAAUACCGGAUAAGUCUUUACAGAGAAAGCUUUAUGCACCAUUGGAUGAGCCUGCACUUGAUUAGUUUGUUGGUGGGGUAAUGGCCUACCAAGACUGUGAUCAAUAGCUGAUUUGAGAGGAUGAUCAGCCACAUUGGGACUGAGACACGGCCCAAACUCCUACGGGAGGCAGCAGUGGGGAAUCUUGCACAAUGGAGGAAACUCUGAUGCAGCGAUGCCGCGUGAGUGAAGAAGGCCCUUGGGUUGUAAAGCUCUUUCGUCGGGGAAGAAAAUGACUGUACCCGAAUAAGAAGGUCCGGCUAACUUCGUGCCAGCAGCCGCGGUAAUACGAAGGGACCUAGCGUAGUUCGGAAUUACUGGGCUUAAAGAGUUCGUAGGUGGUUGAAAAAGUUGGUGGUGAAAUCCCAGAGCUUAACUCCGGAACUGCCAUCAAAACUUUUCAGCUAGAGUAUGAUAGAGGAAAGCAGAAUUUCUAGUGUAGAGGUGAAAUUCGUAGAUAUUAGAAAGAAUACCAAUUGCGAAGGCAGCUUUCUGGAUCAUUACUGACACUGAGGAACGAAAGCAUGGGUAGCGAAGAGGAUUAGAUACCCUCGUAGUCCAUGCCGUAAACGAUGUGUGUUAGACGUUGGAAAUUUAUUUUCAGUGUCGCAGCGAAAGCGAUAAACACACCGCCUGGGGAGUACGACCGCAAGGUUAAAACUCAAAUGAAUUGACGGGGACCCGCACAAGUAGUGGAGCAUGUGGUUUAAUUCGAAGAUACGCGCAGAACCUUACCAACACUUGACAUGUUCGUCGCGACUCUAAGAGAUUAGAGUUUUCGGUUCGGCCGGACGAAACACAGGUGCUGCAUGGCUGUCGUCAGCUCGUGUCGUGAGAUGUUGGGUUAAGUCCCGCAACGAGCGCAACCCUCACUUUUAGUUGCCAUCAUUUAGUUGGGCACUCUGAAAGAACUGCCAGUGAUAAGCUGGAGGAAGGUGGGGAUGACGUCAAGUCCUCAUGGCCCUUACGUGUUGGGCUACACACGUGCUACAAUGGUAUCUACAACAGGAAGCGAAACAGCGAUGUUAAGCAAAUCCUUAAAAGAUACCUCAGUUCGGAUUGCACUCUGCAACUCGAGUGCAUGAAGCUGGAAUUACUAGUAAUCGUGGAUCAGCGUGCCACGGUGAAUGCGUUCCCG